rnacentral:rRNA from 1 species
CCUACGGGCGGCAGCAGUGAGGAAUAUUGGUCAAUGGACGAGAGUCUGAACCAGCCAAGUAGCGUGAAGGAUGACUGCCCUAUGGGUUGUAAACUUCUUUUAUAUGGGAAUAAAACGUUCCACGUGUGGGAUUUUGUAUGUACCAUAUGAAUAAGGAUCGGCUAACUCCGGGCCAGCAGCCGCGGUAAUACGGAGGAUCCGAGCGUUAUCCGGAUUUAUUGGGGUUAAAGGGAGCGUAGGUGGAUUGUUAAGUCAGUUGUGAAAGUUUGCGGCUCAACCGUAAAAUUGCAGUUGAAACUGGCAGUCUUGAGUACAGUAGAGGUGGGCGGAAUUCGUGGUGUAGCGGUGAAAUGCUUAGAUAUCACGAAGAACUCCGAUUGCGAAGGCAGUUCACUGGACUGCAACUGACACUGAGGCUCGAAAGUGUGGGUAUCAAACAGGAUUAGAUACCCGGGUAGUC